ACUACAUCUUGGUUAUAAUUCUGUAGUGCAGCAAAUGAAGAUCGAUGCAGAACUAAAGUAGAUAUUGAGGGAGGCGUGAAAAAUGAAAACGAAAAGAGUGAAAUGGAAACGUAAAUCCCACAUAAAGUGGCAAAAUGUUUAAAAUGCAGAGUGGCUUAGAGCAAGUGGUGACGACUAAAAAAAGGCUCUUUCUUGGUUGA
rnacentral:lncRNA from 1 species